rnacentral:rRNA from 1 species
AAGGUCUAACCUGCCCUAUGAUUGGAAUUAAAUGGCCGCGGUAUUUUAACUGUGCUAAGGUAGCAUAAUCAUUUGUCUUUUAAUUGAAGGCUAGAAUGAAUGGUUGGAUGAAGUAUAAACUUUCUUUAACUUAAUUUAUUGAAUUUAAUUUUUUAGUUAAAAAGCUAAAAUAUGUUUGAGGGACGAGAAGACCCUAUAGAUCUUUAUAUUUUUUGUUAUUUUAUAUUUUAGUGGAUUAAAUAUCUUGAUAACAAAAUAUAUUUGGUUGGGGCGACUGUAGAAUUUCAUUAACUUCUAUUUAUAUUUAUCAAUAAUUAUUGUUUUUUUGAUCCAUUAUUAAUGAUUAUAAGAUUAAGUUACCUUAGGGAUAACAGCGUAAUUUCUUUGGAGAGUUCAUAUCGAUAAAGGAGUUUGCGACCUCGAUGUUGGAUUAAAAUUAGUUUUGGGUGUAGAAGCUCAAUAUAUUAAGUCUGUUCGACUUUUAAAAUUUU